CCGGUCACUCGUCGUGAGAAACUUCUUCAAUCAAUCGUUGGCCGGCUCUGUGAAAGAAUAUUGGUUAGAAAGCAAACGAAACGACAAAAAAAAAUGAUCACGAGAACUUUUGUGGUUUUAUGUUGGACCGUACUUUUGAUCGAUUUAAGGGUCCAAGGAACGGGAAAAUACAAAGGAUUGGAAUUUAUAGAACCUUGUUAUAGACUAGAUCCAAGCCUAGAAAACUGCCUAGCAAGAUCCGCAAACAUACUAACUGAGCAUUUUCGCCAAGGCCUGCCACAGUUGGGGUACUCAGAUGUCGAGCCUAUUGUCUUAGACGAGGUACACAUUUCACUGGGAGGAGGUCCUGAUGGAUACAAAGCAGAAUUCCGAGGAGUUACAGCAAAAGGUGUAUCUGCUCUUCGAGUUAAGGGUUUGAGAACUCAAAUUACUACUGAUGAAGUUCAAUUGCAACUGGCCCUUAGUAUCCCAAAAAUUAGGGCUACAGCUAAAUACAGAUCCAGUGGCACAUUGAUUUUGGUUCAAGCCAGUGGUGCUGGAGAUUAUUGGGGCGAAUAUGAACUCCUCAAAACAGGUCGUGCUGCCGCCCGACCUGCCCCCUCCCCCGGAGUUGGUGCCUCUAAACGUCGUGAAAAUAUAUUACGUAUCAUCAGAAAUUCCAACACCAAUGAUGCAAGUGAAUUGAACAUUGAAUCAUCACGAAUUUCACUUUGUAUUAAUUAUAUUCACGGUGAAUUAACUUGAGGAAAUUAACCUGGAUCCCAAAGGGGGUGGUGGAAGUGAAAGGGAUUAGAUUCUUAUAGAUGUCACAAUGCUGUAUUCUACAUAUAUAACUUAUUUCAUUGACAAUAUUCUCUGAUUUUCUUAAUGUCUGAUAUUUUUUCAACAGUGAAACACCGAAAUCCCACUGGUUCCCCGGUGAAAAAGCAGGAUACUGUUUCAAAUAAUGUCAGUUUCACUGGUUCAGCGAUUUAGAGAGCAGAUAUAAACUAAUAUUAUGUUGGAGAUUGUACAUAUUUUUGUCGUAGUUAAGCCGUUUUUUGGGUAUUAAUUACAAACACUAUCUGAUACCAUUUAAAAUAAAAUUCCCACAGUGCUUUUAAGAAAAAAAUUAAAAUAACAAGAUAUAAUGAUAGAAUUUAGUAUAAAAUAACUAAUACUGAACACCAAUCCAAAAGUAUCAAAUAAGAACCUGAAGAAUCUGCAGAGAAAUUUUUUAAUGCUCUUUUAAAUUAAACUAGGAAAAUUGUCAAUGGCUGAAUCAGUAUUUUGAAUUAUUAUUGGUGAACCAGGGGUUUGUCGUUCUUGACAACGGCCAUUAUUGGGUACUGGUGUUUGUGUUAGAAAUAAUUGGAGCCAUGCGGUAAUAAGCUGUGUAUAUGGCAUAUUUCGCUUGAAAGUGUGGCUGGCCCUUGACCAUUUGGAUUUUUCUUAAAGCAACUCUAUACAUUGACGUAAUCACGAUUACGAGUCUCCACACAUGCAGACGCGAUGUAUUAUAUCCUAUUAUAUUGCAGCCGGGCUCUUAUUUAUUGUUGUGAAUGCGAAGUGAGGGGUUUAAAAGAUAAUUGUGCAACGAUUAGCACCAAAGUGUUGAUUGAUAAGAAUCAUGCCUAACUAGCACUAAGUAAUGAGUAAUCCGCACUGAUUGAACCAGUGACGGAAUUCUACUGAGUGAAUCAGUGAAAUAGCACGGAUUGUCCGUGAAACACUUCUAGCUGUUUCAACAAUUGAAAUGAUACGACUUAAUUUCAAGAGAGUAUUUGGAAGUUCGUCUUUUAGUAUAGUAUUCUUUGUGAUAUAAAUUUGAUAUACAUGCCCAACUGACAGUAAACUAAUCUAGUUUUUGUAAAAAAGAAUUAUUCCCUUGAACUAGGUGAAAUCCGAGUUUUCUGUACAAUGUUUACAAUGCUUAAUGCCUUCAUAGUAAAUAAAUGAAAAAAUAUUGAUAGUCUUUCAAUUUUUUCAAAUUUGAAGAAAAAAUUCUCUUGUCUGUGGUUCGAAAAAAUCGAAAAUUAUGAAAUUUUGAAACGCUUGUUGUAUUAUCUUUAUAUUCUUCAUACUGAAGCAGUUCAGAAUAUUUGUGGAAUUGAAAAUACAUUUAUAAAUUCAAAGUGGGAGACCAUUAUUUAUAUUACGCUACUGAAUGACCUCUUAUGAAUUCAUAACCUAAAGUAUUGUAUGUAUCUUAAAAAUGUAGCUAUUACGUGAAACGGAAUCGAAUUCAAGGAAAUCCGAUAAUUGCAUGCGCGUUUAUUAAUGAAGAAGAGAGAGAGGGUGAACGGGUGUGAUGAAUGGAGAGACCGGCACGAUACGAGGACUGAUCGAGGAAGUGCACUCUUCACUAAACACCGCCACGAAUAGCUGCUUUUGCGGGAACAUGAAAACGAGCUCGGUACUCGUUCGAGAAAAAUAGAUAGCAUUCCGUAAGUUUCAAAUAGAUUCUUCUUUCCAACAAUGAACGUCCAGGAUUUAGCAAAGGAAUAAUAUCCUUAAUUAAAAAAUAUAAUUAAUUUAAAGAAAAGAAAAUUAUAAGUUAUUUUAAAUUGUGCAAGUGUUUUCACAGAUUUUUAGAACUGAAAGUGACAAUUUUUGAGAACAAUGGAUAAAGUCUGAUGGAAAUUAAAAUGCAUACACCUGAUAAUAUUUGCAUGCAUAUUUUUUCCUAAAGAAAUUCUAAGUCACCAUAUUUCAUGCCCCGUCGAUCUUAUGCUGACAUGCUGAACUUUACCUCAAACGUUUUCUUUGUAUCCGCCCAGAAACCCUCUUUACAAAGGAAAAAAGUCUUCGAGAAAUGGAGAAAUAUACUCGCUAAUUGUCUUAAAUUUCACUGAAUGUGAUUAACUAAUUGAUAUUUCCAUGGAGUUGAAGCCAAAGUUUUCAUCAGGGCCAAACCUUUCAUGGUACAAGAUCGGCGGUAUCUUAAACUUCAGCAGUUGAAGAUGGACUUCAGUGUUAAAGACAUAAAGAUGGGCGUC